rnacentral:rRNA from 1 species
GGGGAAUAUUGGGCAAUGGGCGAAAGCCUGACCCAGCAACGCCGCGUGAGGGAGGAAGGUUUUCGGAUUGUAAACCUCUGUCCUUAGGGAAGAAGGAAGUGACGGUACCUAAGGAGGAAGCCCCGGCUAAAUACGUGCCAGCAGCCGCGGUAAUACGUAUGGAGCAAGCGUUAUCCGGAUUUACUGGGUGUAAAGGGAGUGUAGGCGGCUUUGCAAGUCAGAUGUGAAAGCCCGGGGCUCAACCCCGGGACUGCAUUUGAAACUGUGAAGCUGGAGUGUCGGAGAGGUAAGUGGAAUUCCUAGUGUAGCGGUGAAAUGCGUAGAUAUUAGGAAGAACACCAGUGGCGAAGGCGGCUUACUGGACGAUUACUGACGCUGAGGCUCGAAAGCGUGGGGAGCAAACAGGAUUAGAUACCCUGGUA